rnacentral:rRNA from 1 species
GCGCACCAGUUGCGAAAACUUGUCAAUGCACGAAAGUGUGAACGGGCUACCCCGAGUGCCGUCCGCUGAGGAUGGCUUUUCUCUGCUGUAAGAAGUCAGAGGAAUAAGGAGAGGGCAAGUCUGGUGUCAGCCGCCGCGGUAAUACCAGCUCUCCGAGUGGUAGGGAUGAUUAUUGGGCUUAAAGCGUCCGUAGCUGGCCUUUCAAGUCUCUUGUUAAAUCCAGCGAUUCAAUCAUUGGACUGCGGGAGAUACUGUUAGGCUAGGGGGCGGGAGAAGCCGACGGUAUUCCCGGGGUAGGGGUGAAAUCCCAUAAUCCCGGGAGGACCACCAGUGGCGAAGGCUGUUGGCUAGAACGCGCUCGACGGUGAGGGACGAAAGCUGGGGGAGCGAACCGGAUUAGAUACCCGUGUAGUCC